AAUGAACGCUGGCGGCGCGCCUAAUACAUGCAAGUCGAGCGAGAAGACGUAGCAAUACGUUUGUAAAGCGGCGAACGGGUGAGGGAUACAUGGGUAACCUACCCUUGAGUGGGGAAUAACUAGCCGAAAGGUUAGCUAAUACCGCGUACGCUUCUUGGACUUCGGUUCAGGGAGGAAAGCGAUGCCGAGGGCAUCGCGCUCUUGGAUGGGCUCAUGUCCUAUCAGCUUGUUGGUGAGGUAACGGCUCACCAAGGCUUCGACGGGUAGCUGGUCUGAGAGGACGAUCAGCCACACUGGCACUGCGACAC
rnacentral:rRNA from 1 species